CCUACGGGUGGCAGCAGUGGGGAAUAUUGCACAAUGGGGGAAACCCUGAUGCAGCGACGCCGCGUGAGUGAAGAAGUAUUUCGGAACGUAAAGCUCUAUCAGCAGGGAAGAAAAAGACGGUACCUGACUAAGAAGCCCCGGCUAACUACGUGCCAGCAGCCGCGGUAAUACGUAGGGGGAAAGCGUUAUCUGGAUUUACUGGGUGUAAAGGGAGCGUAGAUGGGUGCACAAGUCUGGAGUGAAAUGCCGGGGCUUAACCCCGGAGCUGCUUUGGAAACUGUGCAACUAGAGUGCAGUAGAGGGAAGUGGAAUGCCUGGUGUAGCGGUGAAAUGCGUAGAUAUAAGGAGGAACACCAGUGGCGAAGGCGGCUUACUGGACUGUAACUGACGUUGAGGCUCGAAAGCGUGGGGAGCAAACAGGAUUAGAUACCCCGGUAGUC
rnacentral:rRNA from 1 species